rnacentral:rRNA from 1 species
GAGAAGCUUGCUUCUUGGGUGACGAGUGGCGGACGGGUGAGUAAUGUCUGGGAAACUGCCCGAUGGAGGGGGAUAACUACUGGAAACGGUAGCUAAUACCGCAUAACGUCUUCGGACCAAAGUGGGGGACCUUCGGGCCUCACGCCAUCGGAUGUGCCCAGAUGGGAUUAGCUAGUAGGUGGGGUAACGGCUCACCUAGGCGACGAUCCCUAGCUGGUCUGAGAGGAUGACCAGCCACACUGGAACUGAGACACGGUCCAGACUCCUACGGGAGGCAGCAGUGGGGAAUAUUGCACAAUGGGCGCAAGCCUGAUGCAGCCAUGCCGCGUGUAUGAAGAAGGCCUUCGGGUUGUAAAGUACUUUCAGCGGGGAGGAAGGCGAUGCGGUUAAUAACCGCGUCGAUUGACGUUACCCGCAGAAGAAGCACCGGCUAACUCCGUGCCAGCAGCCGCGGUAAUACGGAGGGUGCAAGCGUUAAUCGGAAUUACUGGGCGUAAAGCGCACGCAGGCGGUCUGUCAAGUCAGAUGUGAAAUCCCCGGGCUUAACCUG